UACAGAGGGGGCAAGCGUUAUUCGGAAUUAUUGGGCGUAAAGGGCGCGUAGGCGGCUUGGCAAGUGGAAGGUGAAAUCCCUCGGCUUAACCGAGGAACUGCCUUCCAGACUGCUUUGCUUGAGGCCGGGAGAGGCGAGUGGAAUUCCCAGUGUAGCGGUGAAAUGCGUAGAUAUUGGGAGGAACACCAGUGGCGAAGGCGGCUCGCUGGACCGGAACUGACGCUGAGGCGCGAAAGCGUGGGGAGCAAACAGGG
rnacentral:rRNA from 1 species